rnacentral:rRNA from 1 species
UACCAGCACCCCGAGUGGUCGGGGCGUUUAUUGGGCCUAAAGCAUCCGUAGCCGGUUCUGCAAGUCUUCCGUUAAAUCCACCUGCUUAACAGAUGGGCCGCGGAAGAUACUAUAGAGCUAGGAGGCGGGAGAGGCAAGCGGUACUCGAUGGGUAGGGGUAAAAUCCGUUGAUCCAUUGAGGACCACCAGUGGCGAAGGCGGCUUGCCAGAAUGCGCUCGACGGUGAGGGAUGAAAGCUGGGGGAGCAAACCGG